UCGGCUCCCGUGACAAUGAUGGAAACC
rnacentral:piRNA from 1 species